rnacentral:rRNA from 1 species
GCUGGCGGCAGGCUUACACAUGCAAGUCGAGCGGGGAUAGGGUGCUUGCACCUGAAUCCUAGCGGCGGACGGGUGAGUAAUACUUAGGAAUCUGCCUAUUAGUGGGGGAUAACGGCUCGAAAGGGUCGCUAAUACCGCAUACGUCCUACGGGAGAAAGCAGGGGAUCACUUGUGACCUUGCGCUAAUAGAUGAGCCUAAGUCGGAUUAGCUAGUUGGUGGGGUAAAGGCCUACCAAGGCGACGAUCUGUAGCGGGUCUGAGAGGAUGAUCCGCCACACUGGGACUGAGACACGGCCCAGACUCCUACGGGAGGCAGCAGUGGGGAAUAUUGGACAAUGGGGGGAACCCUGAUCCAGCCAUGCCGCGUGUGUGAAGAAGGCCUUAUGGUUGUAAAGCACUUUAAGCGAGGAGGAGGCUCCCGUAGCUAAUAUCUACGGAGAGUGGACGUUACUCGCAGAAUAAGCACCGGCUAACUCUGUGCCAGCAGCCGCGGUAAUACAGAGGGUGCGAGCGUUAAUCGGAUUUACUGGGCGUAAAGCGUGCGUAGGCGGCUUUUUAAGUCGGAUGUGAAAUCCCCGAGCUUAACUUGGGAAUUGCAUUCGAUACUGGGAAGCUAGAGUAUGGGAGAGGAUGGUAGAAUUCCAGGUGUAGCGGUGAAAUGCGUAGAGAUCUGGAGGAAUACCGAUGGCGAAGGCAGCCAUCUGGCCUAAUACUGACGCUGAGGUACGAAAGCAUGGGGAGCAAACAGGAUUAGAUACCCUGGUAGUCCAUGCUGUAAACGAUGUCUACUAGCCGUUGGGGCCUUUGAGGCUUUAGUGGCGCAGCUAACGCGAUAAGUAGACCGCCUGGGGAGUACGGUCGCAAGACUAAAACUCAAUGAAUUGACGGGGGCCCGCACAAGCGGUGGAGCAUGUGGUUUAAUUCGAUGCAACGCGAGAACCUUACCUGGUCUUGACAUACUAAGAACUUUCUAGAGAUAGAUGUGCCUUCGGGACUAGAUACAGUGCUGCAUGCUGUCGUCAGCUCGUGUCGUGAGAUGUUGGGUAGUCCCGCACGAGCGCACCUUUUCCUACUGCAGCAUUCCGGAUGGGAACC